CAGCUUCCUGUUCCUCUCCUGGGCGCCGUGGGUGUUGAUGCUUGAAGAGUCGAUGCCGUAGACUUGGAGACCGUACUGCAGUGAGAGGAAAGAACUCAGGUAGCCUUUCCCUGACCCCACAUCGAUCACCUGGCACUUAGCCAAACACGCCACCACCUCAGACAUGGACUGGACCUCGUGAGAUUUUUUAGAGUUCAUAAACUCAUCUGGCUGCAGCUCAGCACCUGAGUUACACGGAGCAUUUAAAGAGUGGAACAUAUUUACAGCUCCAGACUCGAGCUUCUCCUCCCUGAGGGUCUGCAGCAGCUCAUCUCUGCUCCAACAGACGCCAAGCCCUGGGAGUGAGUGAGCCGUUGCUGCCCGCAGAAGUUCAUGGGCAUCGACCAGGCGCUGUGUGUCAGGGCAAAAUCCAAAAAUGCUUCUGGAAUCAUCUGUUUGGAACCAAAGGAACCAUCACAGUUAAGUUGCACCAUGUUUAAUCAAAAGCAGAAAUGACUAUUAAAUCUGUUUACCACCAAAUCAAAAGAUAUUUUUCUCACCGAAAGGAUUGUGGCCUAUGGCUUAAAAAAUCAUUUAUUUCUAACAUUAGGCAUUUAACAAUCGACAUGUAAUACCACACAUGCUCUUCAUUUUACAGCAAACUUUUAAUUAUCAUUUUGCAAUUUCUUGCAAAUUACUUUUUCUAAAAUGUAUUUG